rnacentral:misc_RNA from 1 species
UGAAACCAGGAUGAACUUGAGGACUGUGUUACUGUAGGACUUUCUCGUCCGGUAGCUGUAGGACUUGAAGGUGGAGUUGCAAAUUCAUCCAGUGGCUGUAAUUCUUCAAACUUCGUGAACUUGGUAAAUGUAACCAGUACUCUGAUGGUGGGUACCACUGGGAUAGCAACCUUCACAGGAAAGGUUCCCAAUGGAAGUUUGGUUGUAAGCAGCUCUCUUAAACGACGAAU